rnacentral:rRNA from 1 species
UAAAAGAUUUAAAUAAUUUUUUAAGUUUUUGUUUCAACAAAAUUAACAAAAAUUAUUUAGGGGUUAAAUGCUAAUCGAUUUUAUUAAUAUCUAGUAACUUUGCAAAUAAAUUUAGUUUAGAAUAUAAAGGGUAUCUAAACUUAAAUAUAUUUUUAUACUUUAGGGGAUGAGCUCUAAGGUAAAUUUAUAAGAAUUAAGAUGGAUAAAAUUUUUAUUAAGCUUAGAAUUAGCUAUAGGAUAGUGUUAUAAAACAAAAGUUUAAGAUUAUAAUUUAAUUUUCUUUUAAAAGAACAAAGUUAUAUAAAAAAUAAAAAAUUUUUAGAAGUAAUGAUAGUAUUAGUAGAAAAUAAUUUAAAAUAUUCUUUAAAUAGUUUGUAAAAAAUUUCAGUAAAAGAAUUCGGCAAAUUUGAUUUCCGAAUGUUUAACAAAAACAUUUCUUCUUAGAAUAAGAAGUAAGGCCUGCUCACUGAAUUUUAAAGAGCCGCAGUAUUUUGACUGUGCUAAGGUAGCAUAAUCAUUAGUCUUUUAAUUGAGGACUGGUAUGAAUGGCUAAACGAGAAAUCAACUUUUUUUAUUGUAAUAAUCGAAUUUAACUUUUUAGUGAAAAGGCUAAAUUGUGUUAGAAAGACGAGAAGACCCUAUAGAGUUUUAUAUAUAAAGGAUUUAUAUUUUAGUAGAUUUGGAUAAAUAUAAAUUUAUCAUAUAUUUUGUUGGGGCGACAUUAAGAUAAAAAAAACUCUUUAUUUUUUAAACUUUUAUAAAAGAAUAAAUUUGAUCCUUUACAAAAGAUUAUAAGAAAAAAUUACCUUAGGGAUAACAGCGUAAUCUUUUUUGAGAGUUCUAAUCGACAAAAAGGUUUGCGACCU